UACAAUUGUGUUCGUGAGUUGACUAACAAAGAAAGUUAUUGAUCCAGGAAUGGUGGUAGGAUUUCCACUCAGUAUAGGUAAAUGUGUCAUGCCGCACAGGCGACUGUAUAACCUUUUUACUUCCUUGUUGCCUUGCAGUAUAUACGUAGAAGACAUUAUUCGUAUAAUGCAUGGUGACGAUCUUUUAAAGAACAACUAAUCAUCUCAGUGGUACUGCUUCCAUGAUGCUCAAAACAGUACCCGGAGUUUUGAUAAUUUUGUCAGUGGCAAAUUUAGCAUACCUGGUUUCCUCCCUUGUGCGUUUGUCUGGUGGAAGUGCUAGUAAUGAAGGUCGUGUAGAAGUGUUUCAUGACACUGAGUGGGGUAGCGUGUGCGACGACGGGUUUGGAAACGACGAGGCAGCUGUCGUUUGCAGAGAAUUGGGCUUCCCCGGAUUCCGACGACAUAUUCAGAGCUCUUAUAGGGUCUUUGGAAGAGGACUGUCAAAAAUUUGGUUGGAUGAAGUGCGAUGCUUGGGGAUUGAGGCUUCUAUUGUAGAUUGCAUUCACGAUGGUUGGGGAAUCCAUAACUGUGAUCCUGCAACAGAGGCAGUUGGAGUAGAGUGUGAACCGCUAAAUGGCACUGUGCGACUCACGGGGGGUGCUAGUGACCACAUGGGCUAUGUUGAAGUGCAAAGAAACGACGCCUGGGGAAGGAUUUGUGAUACAGGAUUCACGAUAACCGAAGCAAAUAUUGUGUGUCGCCAGUUUGGGUUCCCUAAUGCUUCCAGUCUUCGUUCAUUUGCCACACUUCCUAGCACGCCUCCGGUAUUAGAUCACGUCAAGUGUACUGGGAACGAAGCGAACAUUCUGCGUUGUAGACACGAUGGAUGGGGUGUAGCUGCUUGUCAACCCAAUCAGACCGCCGGUAUAGUGUGUAUAGAUCCCACUGGUCCGCCUGAAGGCACCCUGCGCCUGGUGAACGGUGCCAAGAGUAGAGAGGGACGGCUGGAAAUCUACUACAAUCAUCACUGGGGCACGAUUUGUGACAAAGGCUGGGACGCUGUUGAUGCCUUGGUGGCAUGUAGACAGCUGGGAUAUUCUGGACUGGAGGCACACAAUAGGAACUUUGGCGUUGGUGACGAUCUAGUCUUGCUCAGUCAGAUUCAUUGUAAUGGUAACGAGGACAAUCUCUCGCGAUGUCCAAGAACUUCAGACUGGGGUAUUGUGCCAGCAGAAUGCACUCACGACAGAGACGUAGGCAUCGUUUGUGAAGCAUCUGUCCCAGCACUAAGAUUGAACAGCAGCUCUCCUGCCAACAACAGCGGCAUUCUGCAGGUGAACUUGAACAAAACCUGGUGGUCAGUUUGUCUGCAAGCUCUAAAUGGCGAGGCACGAAGUGUCAUUUGCCAUGAGCUAGGGUUUGAUCGCUAUGUGGGAGAGGGUCCCAGCACCAAUGCACCGUCUGGUAUUGAUGAUAUGUACUCUACGUCGGCCAGCUGCACUGGAAAUGAAAGGGCACUCGAGGAAUGCAGAAACCACAGAUGGUCAGUUGUGACAAAAGCAGCUCCUCCACCUCUUCAUAUUUCCCUGUGCUACUCCUCAUCUCCAGUACAAUUUGUAUGUGGCAUGACAGAACCUACCACAGCCAGUUCGGCAACCUCUACAACAACAAUAACAACAACAACAACAACAACACACCAUUCAACAAUAUUAACAAAUACACCAGGCAAAACAUCUACAGCAAGGAAAACUACAGUUAGGACAACAUUAGUGAACACACCAGCAGAUGUUGGAUCAACUCCAAACACGUCUCCAACGACGAAACCUAGCACUAUCCCUCCCUCUGGAAAUACUGAGUCUACUCACUCUGAGGUAACGCUCUACCCAACAACAACAACAACAACAGACGACAAUGGUAUCUUAACUUCUGGUCCUACGGAGGUUCAACCAUGGGACACAAUGCCAAACAAGUCUUUACCAGACUGGGGUAUUGCCAUACUGGUGACAGCUCUAGUUUUGGCUCUUAUUUUUGUUGUUGGGUUCCUUUUGAAGAGACGACCUGCAAGCUGUUUUGGUAAAUUAAGGUCUCAAAGGUCUAAUCCUGGAGAGCUGUAUCAAUUACACAACACUUCCACGGCACAGCUGGUAUUGGACGAGCCUCCACCCUAUACAACUAUUGAUCCGUUUGUAAAUGAAAGUAAGCCCAAAGCAAUGCCACCAGUAUCACACCAGCCGCCAGAUGGCCUCUCCAAUCCCCUGUACAAGAUAGACUCGAGAGAUCCUGAUGUACUGGAGUUCUUAGAAAAAAUAGGGCUUGAGGAAUACUAUGGAAUAUUCACGAGAGAAAGAAUAACAGCAAAUGAUUUGCCAUCUCUUACAGAAGUGGAUCUAAGAACAAUAGGCAUUCCUCUUGGUCCUGCAAAACGCAUUGCCGAGAAAAUCCAGGGAAUGCAUAUCUAUCAGCAGCCGGACGAUGACCACAAUAAUAGCCAUUACCAAUCUAUGAUACCCAAAGGUUAUAGAAACGAAGCUGGUCUGGAGUACCAGGGUCUAAACUUUAGCGAGUAUGAUGAUAUAGACCGCCAACAGGAUGCCCCUCGCCCUCUACCAAGACCACCUCCUGGCGGACGACUAGACUCGGACCCAGAAAACUAUGAAAAAUUCGACGCAGACACUCGGAACUCUGCAAGUUAUAUUCAGUUCGUUUCUGUUGCUGAACAGGACAAAAACAAACCACUUUCUUAUGCUGAUGUAGUUUCCAGUGAAAAAGACUUAUCCGUUGACCACCCAGCCGUAGCAAGUCUCGGAUGUAGGGAUAGCGGUUAUAUGACUCCAGUGACCAACACAAAAUAACUCGUAAUGUGUCUAGAGCAAUACUUUGGACACAGAUGCACAGUGUGUUGGUUGUUUUUUAUGUAUAUUUCAACUAACGAAAAUGUUACAUCACCAGUAGGCAAGCUGUAGGGCUUGCACUGCAGCCUUUAUUUGAUUUGCUUUUUCUUUUAUGAUAAAGCGAAGCAAGAGCAUUAAUCAAAGAAUGUAACAUUUAUUACAACUUUCGUCACCACUGCUUUGGAAACAAUUUGUUGCACUUGGAAUCUGUAGAUACACGUUGUUUUAACAGUAGAUUUCCGAGAAAAAUACCUAUCGACAUUCUCACAAGAUACAUAUGCCUUCAGAUUCUAUGUGUGCGUGCGUGAGGGUUAGGGGAUAGUCGCGGAUCUUGUGUGUGCUCUAUCAGGAUCCAUCAAAAGUGCCAAGUUUUAACCCACCACAAUUCUAUAUAAGGGGCCAUUCCCACAGAUAUUUGGAUCGAUCUAUCUCCCUGGGGAGUCUUACUAAAUUGCUAUCAAACUAUUAGGCUUAAACGUAUGUCACGCCUAGUAGAACUGUUAGGGGGUAAUUAUCUUUACCCCUAGCUGAUUCGGUAGGCGUGACAGACAUCUUAACCUCUUGAGCUGAUAGCAAUUUAGCGUGAACCCCCAGGGAGUAAGGUCGAUCCAGAUGGAUCGAUGUAAGUAUGGGAACCUAGUCUUAGACGCUCUCCGGAGCAAACUUGUCUAGGGUAAUGAGCGUGACGAUCUUACAAACAACCAAAAAGAAAGAUUCAAACUUUGUAAGUCAGUUCAUAUACGUGUAAUACGAAAUUAAUUGUCAUUGAACAAGGUCAUAUUCGUUUAUUCGCUAUUCGUCUUCGCAUUGGUCAUUAUCACAUUUCUGCAGACCGAAAAACAACGGUGAAAAUUGCUUAGUUUUGGCUUUGAUCAUUAUCACAUUUCAAUCCGGUCUCCAAAACAGUAGUGGAAACUACCGGAGUUUCUGUUUGGUGAUUAACACAUUUCUACAAAUUGAAAAACGAGACUGAAAAUAACUAUCUUUAUCUUUGGUAAUUAUCAUAUUUCUCAUAAAAAGGCGUUGUUCAAAGUCUAGAUUAUACGAUAUCAUUGCAUUUAUGGACCCACAGAACACACAACAAGGCACCAACCAGUUUCGUCAUUGUAUAUUGCGAUUUCAAACAUUUCAUAAUUUGAAAGAUGAAUGAUUACAUGCCCUCCACUAAUUCAUCGAGAGGAAUACCCUCAUAGAUUUCAUUGGUUUUGUUAUAUUCGUUUGAUGUCGGGAAAUAAUCAGAAACAAAACUGUUCGCUUUCCUGCCGCGUAAGGCCCCUAUUUCACACAGACCACGAAUCCCACGAAUCGCCAGGAAUUGACAAUUUCAGG
rnacentral:misc_RNA from 1 species